CUAUGGAGGCUGGGUAAUGCUGACCAGGACAAGAUCAUUAUCUGUGGAGGCCCUUUCAUUUCAUCAUACUCUCAAGGCUGAAACUUGAUUUCUCCCUCAGAGCUCAAGGCAAGACCAAUACUCUCCUCUGUGAACAAUAAACACAACAGCUGCUGUAAAAUCUUCAGUGUAAAUGGCAGACUUGCAGCUGCAGAAAAGCAAAGUCGUGGUACAACAGAAAAAUUUGAGAAACACUUCCAAAUCGCAAGUGAAAUUAAAAUAUAGAAGUGAAAAGUCAAGAACAGAGGCAGGUUGGAUGUGAAGGUCUUACAGAGCCAAACCACACACAGCAGAUGCUCCUGAGGAGAAAAUGAAGAAAGGAGCAGAAGUAGCAGCCAAAAACAUAAUAGAAGAAAACUUUCAAGGUGGAGAAAUUGAAAAUGCUGAGCAAAAAAAUAAUGCAGAGAGAGCAAUAAUGACAGAGGGUGUUGUGCUACACUGAAGUUUGCACUUCAGGAAAAACAGGACAUCAGAAAAGCUCCCAGGAGGAAAAAAGUAAACAGAUUAUCUUCAAAUAAGCUAAAAUUAAGUUGUCUUCAAAUGUGUCUGCUGAAAUAAAAGAUGCCUCCAGACCAUGUGAUAUGGUUCCACUGUGUCCCCACCAAAAUCUCAUCUUGAAUUGUAGCUCUCAUGAUCCCCAAGUAUUGUGGGAGGGACCUGGUAGGAGGUAAUUAAAUCAUGGAGGUGGUUACUCUCAUGCUGUUCUCAUGAUAGAGUGUGAGUUCUCACAAGAUCUGAUGGUUUUAUAAUGGGCUUUUUCCUCUUUGCUCAGCACUUCUCCUUCCUGCCAUCAUAUGAAUAAGGACGUGUUUUCUUCCCCUUCCACCAUGAUUGUAAGUUUCCCUAGGCCUCCCCAGCCAUGAAGAACUGUGAGUCAAUUAAAUCUCUUUCCUUUAUAAAUUACCCAGUCUCAGGCAGUUCUUUACAGCAGCGUGAGAACGGACUAAUACACCAUGGGAUAACUGAUACUGGCAUAUCUGUGUGGGAAACCCCAGGACCUGAGAACUUUCUGGCCAUUUCUAAAAUCUCCAGACGGCUGCACCUGUCACCUCUUCUGUAAAAGCUGCUUGAACGGAAUCCUUCAAAAUACCAAACAGGACAGCAGGGACAUCACCAUAGAAAGAAUUGGGCUGGAAUGAUAGGCCAGAUUUUUUAAAAGAAGAAAUAUGUGGACAGAAAAUAUGUGACUGAAACACCAGGAGUUUGAUGUUGGUCUUGUUGCUCACUGCACAGAAAGCCAGUCACUGAGACAAUGAAUACUGCAGGGAAGAAGGAAGGCUUCAUGCAGGUGCGCAGCUGAGGAGCGUUCACGGUGACCCAGGAACUUUGUGCUCAGCCGUCUGGGGCAAUUCUGUCCGCCUCCAAUCCAUCUGUCAAAGCCCUGAGUCCCAGGACUUCAGAAAGUGACUGUGUUUGGAGACAGGGACUCGAUAGGGGAGAUUAAUACAAAGUGAGGUCACAUGGGUGACCCUAAUCCAAUCUGACACGUGUCCUUAUAGGAAGAGGAGAUGAAGACACAGAUGUGCACAGAGGGGCAGCCCUGUGAGGACACGCGGAGAAGAUGGCGUGUGCGAGCCAGGGAGACAGAAACCAAUCGUGACAACCCCUGAUCUCAGACUGCCAGCCUCCAGAGCUGGGGGAAAGUACGUUUCUGCUAUUGAAGCCGCCAGUCUGUGGUGCCGGGUUAUGCGCCAGUACCCACACGCCAGCCGAGACAGCAAUAGCGAGACACUCCGGAUAGAUGAAGGGCGUGCGGCCUUCCCACCGCCCACCUGAAAACACUGCCUAAAGAUGAGCCCAGUCCACAAAGCCUGCAUGAAAUGACGCGUUCAACAGCAGGAAAGACCUGGGUGGCAUAAAAAGAAAAAGAGUCAGGGAGACCAAGUCAGGCGAGGGGAGAAUGAGACUGGAAAUGGUUUGGCUGUGUCCCCACACAAAUCUCAUCUUUAAUUGCAGCUCCCAUAAUUCCCAUGUGUUGUGGGAGGGACCCAGUGGGAGAUAAUUGAAUCGUGGGGGCGGUUUGCCCAUAGCGUUCUCAUGGUAGUGAAUAAGUCUCCUGAGAUCUGAUGGUUUUAAAAGGGGAAACUCCUCUCGCUUGACUCUCAUUCUGUUUUGUCUGCUGCCACAUAAGACAUGCCUUUCACCUUUCACCAUGAUUGUGAGGCCUCCCCAGCCACGUGGAACUGUGUGUCCGUUAAACCUCUUUCUCUUCAUAAAUUACUCAGUCUUGGGUAUGUCA